UAAUUGCAUUAAAAAAAGAAA
rnacentral:piRNA from 1 species